rnacentral:lncRNA from 1 species
AUCGAGAAGCAGCGGCGGCGGUGGAGAAAGAGGCAGCGAGCGUCGUCGCUGGCCGGGAAGUUGCGAUGCUGGAGAUGGGAAAGAGGGUGCUCUGUUUCUAUCGCACCACAGCCGGAGCCGCUGGCGAUGCUGGCAACGGCGGUACGGCGGUGAUCGUGCGGCCGAGAAGCAGCGGCACGGUGGAGAAGGAGGAGUCGGCGGCUGUAGAGGCGACCGACGCCUGCGGCAGCAGAGGGACCGGC